UGCAUCGGCCGGGAAUCGAACCCGGGCCGCCCGUGUAGCAGGCAAGCAUUCUACCACUGAACCACCGAUGG
rnacentral:tRNA from 1 species